rnacentral:rRNA from 1 species
AGUUGGUUCUGCGUGCCGCGCUGUCGGUUCGCCGCCUGUCGGUGUAACUGGCAUGUCGCGGCAUGUCCUGUCGGUGGUGAACGGAGUCCACGACGCUACAUGGGCUUUAUAGUCGAUGUUAGCAUCGUGUGUACUUCCGUUGGCCGAUCUCUCCUACUUCGGUGCUCUUAAACGAGUGUCGAGGUAGGCCGACACGUUCACUUUGAACAAAUUAGAGUGCUUAAAGCAGGCUGAAAUAUCUGCCUGAAUAGUGGUGCAUGGAAUGAUAAAACAGGACCUCGGUUCUAUUUUGUUGGUUUUAGGAAUAUGAGGUAAUGAUCAAUGUGGACUGGCGGGGGCAUUCGUAUUGCGACGUUAGAGGUGAAAUUCUUGGAUCGUCGCAAGACGCACUAGAGCGAAAGCAUUUGCCAAGUAUGUCUUAAUUGAUCAAGAACGAAAGUUAGAGGUUCGAAGGCGAUCAGAUACCGCCCUAGUUCUAACCAUAAACGAUGCCAGCCAGCGAUCCGCCGAUGUUCCUUUAAUGACUCGGCGGGGAGCUUCCACCCGGGAAACCAAAGCUUUUGGGUU